ACUUGGUAUGAAAAGAAAUGUUUUUGAUAUUUCAGAAAUUACUGACAUUCUAAGAUGUGGCUGUCGAAUUCACCUGGGAGAAAUGGGGGCUGUUGAAACCAGCUCAGAAGGACUUAUUCAGGAAUGUGAUGCUGGAAAACUAUGAGAAUUUUAUCUCCCUUGGGUCAUGUCAGUUUUCAAGCCAGAUGUCAUCUCCCAGUUGGAAAAAAGAGCAGUAUCAAGGUGGCCAGCUGAAGAAGUUCCAAGAGCCUUUAUCUUGAUUUUCCUCAGAAAUGUAACAUAAUUGGACAGAAGUACAGUCAGGAGUCAAUCCCUGAUGCCCAAAAGUGAAUUCUUGAAGUAAAUGUAAAACAAUAUUCAGAUGUAAUUGAGAAUGACAAAAUCGCUGGAGGUGAAAACCUUUAUGAAUAUAAUAAAUGCGAGAAGAUCUUCACUUGCUAUUCAAACUAUAUUUUUCAGCAUGGAACAGAUACUCAAAGAAAACACUUUAAAGAUAAAAUAUCCAGGAUAAUCAUUAGCAGUAAACAAAAUCCAAUUACUCACCAUUCAGAUGAUUCUGAGGAGAAUCUAUUUAAAUGUAAUUUAGCAACCUUCAACAAAAUUCAAAGUCUAUCUCAACAUCAAAAGAUUGAUAGUAGAGAGAAGUUGUUUGAAUGUAAAAAAUAUAGGAAAGCCUUCAACAGAAAGGGGACUGUCUAUAAAUAUCAGAUGAU